GCCUGGUUAAUACAGUUGGUAGAGCGUUAGACUUUUAAUCUAACGGUCAGGGGUUCGAGUCCUAACCAGAUU
rnacentral:tRNA from 1 species